rnacentral:rRNA from 1 species
GCAAUUCGCCCUUACGGGAGGCAGCAGCAAGGAAUUCUCCCCAAUGGGCGCAAGCUGCAGUGGUGCAACGCCGCGUGGAGGACGACGUCCUUCGUGUUGUAAACUUCUUUCGGUUGGGUCGAACAUCGAUGGUACCAUCAGUAGCAGCCCCGGUGAAGUUUUGUGCCAGCAUUCGCGUUAAGACAGUGGUGGCAUGCGUCUUCCCGUAGUUAUUGUGGCGUAAAGGGCGCGGUGUUGUCGUUCUCGUGCUUUUUCGCGGAAAGCCCCCUUUUAACGUGCUUUGCGUGUCGCCACGCGUUUUCCCAGGCGAGCAGAGUGUCUUCGAUCUUCGGCCUUAGCGGUUUAAGGUGUGGAGACCCUCGUGAGCGGUAGUGUGUAAGCCCGACCACUGCGUUGCUUUCCGGAUGUGCUGUUGGAUAGGGGUGGCAGGAAGCUUGUCUAACAACAC